AGAGUUUGAUCCUGGCUCAGAACGAACGCUGGCGGCAGGCCUAAUACAUGCAAGUCGAGCGCGCCCUUCGGGGUGAGCGGCGGACGGGUGAGUAACGCGUGGGAAUAUGCCCUUCUCUAAGGAAUAGCCUCGGGAAACUGAGAGUAAUACCUUAUACGCCCUUCGGGGGAAAGAUUUAUCGGAGAAGGAUUAGCCCGCGUUAGAUUAGGUAGUUGGUGGGGUAAUGGCCUACCAAGCCUACGAUCUAUAGCUGGUUUGAGAGGAUGAUCAGCCACACUGGGACUGAGACACGGCCCAGACUCCUACGGGAGGCAGCAGUAGGGAAUCUUAGACAAUGGGGGAAACCCUGAUCUAGCCAUGCCGCGUGUGUGAUGAAGGCCUUAGGGUCGUAAAGCACUUUCGCCAGAGAUGAUAAUGACAGUAUCUGGUAAAGAAACCCCGGCUAACUCCGUGCCAGCAGCCGCGGUAAUACGGAGGGGGUUAGCGUUGUUCGGAAUUACUGGGCGUAAAGCGUACGUAGGCGGAUUAGUAAGUUAGAGGUGAAAUCCCAGGGCUCAACCCUGGAACUGCCUUUAAUACUGCUAGUCUUGAGUUCGAGAGAGGUAAGUUGGAAAUUUCCGAGGUAGAGGUGAAAUUCGUAGAUAUUUCGGGAGGGUACACCAGUGGCGAAGGCGGCUUAACUGGGCUCGAUACUGACGCUGAGGUACGGAAGUGUGGGGGAGCAAACAGGAUUUAGAUACCCUGGUUAGUCCACACCGUAAAACGAUGAAUGCCAGACGUCAGCAAGUAUACUUGUUGGUGAUCACACCUAACCGGAUUAAGCAUUCCGCCUUGUUGAAGUACGGUCGCAAGAAUUACAACUUCUAAGGAAAUUGACCGGGGGACCCGCACAAGCGGUGGAGCAUGUGGUUUAAUUCGACGCAACGCGCAGAACCUUACCAACCCUUGACAUCCUGUGCUACUACCAGAGAUGGUACGUUCCCUUCGGGGACGCAGUGACAGGUGCUGCAUGGCUGUCGUCAGCUCGUGUCGUGAGAUGUUCGGUUAAGUCCGGCAACGAGCGCAACCCACAUCUUUAGUUGCCAUCAGGUUAUGCUGGGCACUCUAGAGAAACUGCCCGUGAUAAGCGGGAGGAAGGUGUGGAUGACGUCAAGUCCUCAUGGCCCUUACGGGUUGGGCUACACACGUGCUACAAUGGCAGUGACAAUGGGUUAAUCCCCAAAAGCUGUCUCAGUUCGGAUUGGGGUCUGCAACUCGACCCCAUGAAGUCGGAAUCGCUAGUAAUCGCGUAACAGCAUGACGCGGUGAAUACGUUCCCGGGCCUUGUACACACCGCCCGUCACACCAUGGGAGUUGGUUCUACCCGACGACGCUGCGCUAACCCUUCGGGGAGGCAGGCGGCCACGGUAGGAUCAGCGACUGGGGUGAAGUCGUAACAAGGUAACC
rnacentral:rRNA from 2 species